rnacentral:rRNA from 1 species
CCUACGGGUGGCUGCAGUGGGGAAUAUUGGACAAUGGGGGGAACCCUGAUCAAGCGACGCCGCGUGAGUGCAGAAGUAUCUCGGUAUGUAACGCUCUAUCAGCAGGGAAGACAGAAAUGACGGUACCUUACUAAGAAGCACCGGCUAACUACGUGCCAGCAGCCGCGGUAAUACGUAGGGGGCAAGCGUUAUCCGGAUUUACUGGGUGUAAAGGGAGCGUAGACGGCUGAGCAAGUCUGAAGUGAAAGGCGGGGGCCCAACCCCCGGACUGCGUUGGAAACUGUAUAGCUAGAGUGCAGGAGAGGUAAGUGGAAUUCCUAGUGUAGCGGUGAAAUGCGUAGAUAUUAGGAGGAACACCAGUGGCGAAGGCGGCUUACUGGACUGUAACUGACGUUGAGGCUCAAAAGCGUGGGGAGCAAACAGGAUUAGAUACCCUGGUAGUC